UACGUAGGGAGCAAGCGUUGUUCGGAUUUACUGGGCGUAAAGGGUGCGUAGGCGGCGCGGUAAGUCACUUGUGAAAUCUCUGAGCUUAACUCAGAACGGCCAAGUGAUACUGCAGUGCUAGAGUGCAGAAAGGGCAAUCGGAAUUCUUGGUGUAGCGGUGAAAUGCGUAGAUAUCAAGAGGAACACCUGAGGCGAAGGCGGGUUGCUAGGCUGACACUGACGCUGAGGCGCGAAAGCGUGGGGAGCAAACAGG
rnacentral:rRNA from 1 species